rnacentral:lncRNA from 1 species
GCCAGACUUGGCCACCAAGCUUGCUCCAAAAUGUUGAGUUCGUAGAAAAAGUACUUUUAUAAUAACUCCCAUUCCCUUGCCCAGACUAACUGUCAAAUCUAUGAAAGCAUCCAAAUUCAUUUUAAUUUUAUUGCUUCUCAUUGAGUACUCUAAGAUAGAGCUAGCUAUUUCAAAGUUCCUUUUUAGUCUGUUUUGUUUGGUUGAUUAUUUUGUUCUCUGCAAAUUAUUUUGAGGCAAGGGAAAGGAUACAAAUAAGUAUUUAUAUUUGAAAUCUUAUUUCUUACCACUGCUUAUAUUUUCUUAGGGUAGUGAGUCAGUAUUUCUGGGGAGGUAUAUUUUUGUUUUCUUCAGUGGGUUUUUUGGUCAUGCAUGUGUAAGGCAUUGAUUUGCAAUACUAAUGCCCAUUAAUCCUUUGUUUUUGAUGCUCUGAAUCCUAAUUGAAAUAUGAUCUUCUCCAGCUUAUUAUGAAUUUAGUUGUAAGUUAAAGCAACCAAAAACUUAUACAAUCCUUGGAAGCAGGACAGUGGUAUUUGGGGGGAAGAGGUGAUAUUAAUUUCUAAUGUCCUGGGGACCAAAAUGAGGGAAAAUUAAAUAAUGGAGUGAAGGUAAAAGAAAGAGAUAAACUAUUUUUUUUUGUUAAAGUUUUAUCAUUUUGAUUGAUUAUUUAGGUUUUUUGUAAAUAUGGGCAUAGGUAUAUAGAAAAUGUGCUAUUUGCCCACACAAAAAAUAGAAGUGCUCUUCUCCUUCUAUUGCAGAAAUGAAAAUUCUGACCGUUCACAUUAUUGCGUCUAAUUGUAGAAAGACUAUACCCUUAUGAAAGACUAAGGCCAAUUAUUUUGGUCUCAAGCAUCUUUGGAAUAGCACUGACUUUGAUUUCUCAAUGAGUCCUCUGUGGUCUGAUAUGUCUUAAGCUGAAUGGGGCUUGUGGUUCCAUGGAAAUCUUGAGUCGUCUUCCUCACAUUUGGCAUUGAAAUGGCAGUAGUUAGUAAAGAUGGGGCAUCUGUGUCUUGUGAAAAACAUGGAGGAAAGUGUAUUUGAGACCUGUCUUUGCUGUUUAUUAAUUGUGAGUCUGAGUUUACUUUGCCCUGCAGUGAGAAUUGUGGUUGAUUUGGAACAGAGAAGAGAUUAUUGGGCAAAUGAUUGGCCUUGGACCCCUUGCUGGAGAGCAUAUCAAGGAGACUGUGGAGAUCAAGGAUGGUCUGGGAGAAUAUGUCCUGUUUAAAGUAACUAUCAAAUACCAAUAAUCAUAGUACACAGAAGUAGGCAGAAAGAUUUGAAUUCUGAUUUGGAAAGGGCUAUUCUUUUUUAAAAUUGAAGUAUACUUGAUUUAAAAUAUUGUAUUAGUUUCAGGUGUACAGCAAAGUAGUUCAGUUAUAUAUAUGUGUGUGUGUGUAUAUAUAUAUAAUGUAUACAUGUGUAUUAGAUUAUAUUUCAUCAUAGGUUAUUACAGUAUAUUAGGUUAUUGAAUAUAAUUCCCUCAGCUAUACAAUAAAUCCUAGUUACUUGUCUAUUUCUGUAUAGUA